GAUGAGAUUUCCCAUUUCUUCGGAAAGUAAGAUCCCUGAAAGAAGAUCAGGUAGAUAGGUUUGGAGUGGAAGUAUGGCGACAUAUGGAGCGGACAAAUACUAAUCGAUCGAGGACUUAACCAA
rnacentral:rRNA from 1 species